UUAGUCUUUUAUUAUUUUCAGGGCUCCUCAGUGAUUAUGUUAAUGCAAGUCAAUAUGUAUAAAUAUAAAUACCAAUAUUCACAGAUCUAACAUAGUCAAAUAAAUUCAAAACGCAGCUCAAUGUUCAAAAACCCCCUGAAGCCAAAACAAUGUCUCACCAAACUGCCGUAAUUCAUUUAAUUCUGUGGGACUAUUUUUCCAUAUGCGUAAUGACACCAAAAUAGAGGGGAGUGCUACGGCCAUUCGUCUUCACCACGGUCUGCUAUGCACAGUGUUCACGGAAGGACGUUGUUCUAUUCUAGACUGUAUCACUAGAAUAGAAUAAGGCCGAAGAAGUACACGAGACGAGCGUCUUCUCUUCACAUCCACACUUCUCCAUUUUUUUUUUUUAUUCAACUCUACUUCUUCUCCCUUGCAACCCAAGUACAGUCACAUACUGACGCCCACUGGCGGCAUGGUGGCAUUGCAAAUCAAAAGUGUAAUACACAACAGACGUCAACAUGGUGAAAUGUGCUUUUAGAAGCUGUGGAAACAUACAGAAGAAAUGGACAAAGGAAAGUUUCCACCGCUUGCCUGUGAAGAACGAGGAACUAUUCAAAAUGUGGUUACUUUGGUGGAUAUGACAUACACACACCGGGGGAAAAGUACUGUACUGCUCUGGAGUAUUUGCAUUGCGCAUUUUCAUCGGUAUCCUCUCCUGAAACCAAAUGCUGUACCUUCGACUGUCCAAACGUCUUCAAGAGCUUCUGAUAAACAGGUGACCUGGAGAUGCUGUAGGUACACCCAGAAGAGGCUCCACUUUGUUUUCAACUCCAUGAAGGCAAGGGCGCCAGCAAGCGAGGAAUGCUGAUGGGACUUCGAGAUACAGCUUGGAGUUUCCUAAGCAAACAAAAAGAUGGGUUGCCUGGAGGAGUUACAAGCCAACAACGCGGACAUUCUGACAGAAUUUGGUGGCGCAUGUCCUGGAAAGACUGCAGGAUUCAUCAGUGAAAUUUGCUGACCCAGACUUUUAUUUCAAGCCUCCAACUACAAUUCCCCAGGCAUCAAAAGGCCUGAUAAAGAAAGUCAUUUUACAUGUCAGUAGAUUUAAAAAAUAAUUAGGCUGACAUUUUCCUUUUUAAUAGAUUUUUUUGAAUGUACUAUAAGAAAAAAAACACAUAUUGUCUUAUUUGUGAAAUCUGAAGGUUUAAAAGAUCAAAAGUUUCUGGGUAUGUAGGAGUUGUACUUAGAACAAUUGCAGAGCAUCUUCAGUUUCCCUAAAACCAUUGUAGUUCCCACUGACAGAAGUGCACUUGUCACGGAUGUGGGAGACCACACAUGAUGGAAGAACACGUCGCUGGCCUCUUCCCAGUUGUUUGCCUUUCAACGCCUACUCAAGAACAACCCUAUAUGGCACCAAUCAGAGUUGCCUAAAACAACAAAACCAUAAUAGAGGGUGAUUAAAAAAGAAAGAGCCAAAAUCAUCAAGUGAUAGAUCAAAAAAUUAUAUACAUAUAAUUUAAAAAAGUUACAGAACUCUAGCUUGGACACAUGUUCAAUAUUCCCAACACAUAAGCAGCACUCUACUAUAUGCAGCUGGGUUCAAAAUGAGGGGGAAAAAAGUAGCGGCUGAUAGUCCGCAAAUUACGUAACUUCAAGUUUUUAAAUCAAGUGCUCUAAGGGGACAAUCACCGGCAAUUGAAAUACAUGAAAUAAUACUUGAAGUUAUGUUCAACACAUUUGCCUAUGUCAGUUUUAUAAUGUUUUUAAUUUUUGACAUAUUGCGUGAUGAUUUAGGCACAUUCUUGUAAAUAAUUGCCAUACUGCUACUGCUUUUUAUAUUGACAUGCUUUUACUCUCACAAUGCAUUACUGUUGAGAUGAUAUAGCUGCUUUCCUGAAGUAGAACUAAGCUUAGAGUAUACGAAUAUUCGCCCAGCGACAAAAUAAAGCAUGCAGGAAUCCACUUACCUCAUUCAUAGCUGCCCGUUUUUUUCCAGUUGGUCUUAUCUACGAAGAAAAAAGUUUCAAGAACACCUUUGUUGAGAAGUGGUAAAAAGUCUUGGUGUUCACUUGCGACCAUUUAUUGAGUUCUGAAAACUGUUCAGCUCCAAUUCUUCCCUGCAUUUUGGGGGCGGGAAGUCGCUAAGUUGCCACAAUAAAAAAAAUUUAAAAAAUAAAAAAGCGGUGAAAAGACCAAUGUGAUAUCCCUCCGCGCAGCCAGCUUGUUCUCUUCUCUGCAAGGCAACUGGAUUACUAAUGUUGCUGUUCUUACUGCAGUUAUUGACAUGCAAUGGUAAGUUUUAAUAACUUUAUCCUGAAAACAGCCAACACUAUUGAUUGCAUGCGUCAUCAGUGAUUCUCCUACGUGCAUAUGUUGUUUUCAUGAGCAUGCUAAUUGGCCAUAUUGACUUGCAUUAGCAUAGCCACUCCGGAGCCCUGAAGAAUAAUUGAAGACUAACAAACGAUACGGAAUAUUUUGAAAUCAACUCCACUGACUAUUUAACCCCCCCCCCCCAACUCGAAGAAUAAGCCUGAUGUAAAAAAAAUCUGAACUUCCCCUUUAAGAAAAUGUCUGCUUAAAAAAAAUCACAUAUAUUAUGAAUUUUUGAUGUUUCAAAAAUUUCUCCUUGAAUAGAUUAUUUUUGAUAUUGUGAAAUAGUAAACUGCAAUAAUUUGCUAUUUUUCUUCUUAUUCUUCCUGACGAGGUUAUUGGGUACAUAUCCCAUUCAAUGAAUUACAUUCAUUAUAUGACUUUUGACAUUGUGAAAAUGUGUGCUCUAAUAAAUUACAUUGCUGUAUUGUAUUUUUGAGAUUAUGAAAUUAU